rfam:Pseudacidovorax intermedius strain NS331 contig_64, whole genome shotgun sequence.
GGGGCUGCAUUGGUUUCGACGUGGGUUCGGGACCGCAGUGGUGCAUGUCGAGCUGAAUGCGCUCGUAAAACAGAUUCAAACAAACUAACUGCAAACGACGAACGUUUCGCACUCGCAGCCUAAUCGCUGCGAGCCUUGCAACAGUCGGCCGAUGGGCUGGGCAAGGGGGCGUUAGAGCAAUCUGACGCCUCCCGGCUGCAAGGUUAAUCACAUUGGCUGGCGGCGGUCCGUGCACCUUGGGCCGCCGCGAGAUUCAAGGGUGCUGGCAACCGGCAAAGCGUGCGUCUGCGCGUUGCCGGUGGCGAGAUCCAAAACAGAGCGCUAAACAUGUAGAUCUGCGCGGCGAAGGCUUGCGGACGGGGGUUCAAAUCCCCCCAGCUCCACCA